rnacentral:rRNA from 1 species
AUUGAACGCUGGCGGCAGGCCUAACACAUGCAAGUCGAACGAGUGGCGGACGGGUGAGUAAUUUCUGGGAAACUGCCUGAUGGAGGGGGAUAACUGCUGGAAACGGUGGCUAAUACCGCAUACCAUCGGAUGUGCCCAGAUGGGAUUAGCUAGUCGGUGGGGUAAAGGCUCACCUAGGCGACGAUCCCUAGCUGGUCUGAGAGGAUGACCGGCCACACUGGAACUGAGACACGGUCCAGACUCCUACGGGAGGCAGCAGUAGGGAAUAUUGCGCAAUGGGCGAAAGCCUGAUGCAGCAACGCCGCGUGUGUGAAGAAGGCCUUCGGGUUGUAAAGUACUUUCAUCGGGGAAGCGUUACCUGAAGAGAAAGCAACGGCUAACUCCGUGCCAGCAGCCGCGGUAAUUC